GUUGACCUACCGCAGCGUGUUGCGACCCGUCACUCAACCGGACCCGCGCGAGGAGAGGGCGGCGGGGGGGGGGGCGGGCAGCUAAAAAGUCCUGCUACUUUCUAGUUCCGCUUCACUUUCUGCGCGGCGUUAGUACCGGAGAGCCGGGGGGGGCAGCGGAGCAUCGUCACCGGGGAGUCUGAAACACGGCCAAGUCUCCCACCAACUCCGGUCGGAGCCGAGGCGAGGCGGCGGUCUGCGGCGCGUCCAGCGGCCGGGCGCGGGGCUCCUCCGGGCGGCUUGUCUUCACUGCCGCCGUCGGUCGUGGUCCGGUUUCUUUCUUUUUCCUCCUCAACUCCGCUCCAAACUAAACGUGUUCACGUUAAAAACGUGCAGCUCGCGCUCAAGUCGGCUACAAUGUAUAAGCUCAUAUCCGGUGACUUCUUUCAAAGGCCCGGUGACCGACUUCCGGUCUUGUCCAUACUGACUAUGUUGAACUUGAUGUUUCCCAAACCGGCCAUCGCAGACAAAUCUAUCACAGGAACCUGGAGCAACCCGCUGUGAUCUGCUGGACGUGGCGGUGUUUCUGCAGCGUCGGUGGACGUGAUGUGGCACGCGUCACGUAAGAUGAUGCAUCCGAGAUGCUUUCUGACUGACUGUGAAGUGAUUCAAGAGACGUUUGGGCUGCUGCGCCUCAGCUGCUCUCACAUCAUGCAGAGCUUUCUCAGUGCGAGAUUAAACCAAACAGGCGGCACACGUUUGCCUCCAUGAAAUCCAGCUCUCAAGUAAAUAAGAAUAACAGCUUUUUAUCAGAAUUGACAAGCUUAUUAUCUCAUUGAUUUAGAAAAACAGCGUUUCCCUAUUUAAAUGUUUCUCAAAUAUAACAAAUAAAAUACCUUGGUGAUUUAGAAAAAAA
ensembl:lncRNA